rnacentral:lncRNA from 1 species
UUAGAUCUUAGUCUCUUUGGUAGGAGUUUUGUUCCAGAGGAGCUUUCCCCCUUGGAUUUGAACUUGCUCUUUUUGUUGUUGUUGUUCUUUCUCUUCUUUUUCUUACCUCCCACUAAAGGGGUUCCAAAUUAUCCUGGUCUUUUUCUACCUUGUUGUGUUUCUAUCUCGUCUUUACUUCCAUCUGUUUGUUUUUUUCUCCAUCAGUGGGGGCCGAGUUGUUCCCCCAGCCUGCCAAAUUUUGAUCCUUCCCCUCUUUUGGCCAAAUCCUAGGGGGAAGAAAUCCUAGUAUGCCAAAAAUAUAUGCUAAGCAUAAUUAAACUCCAUGCGGGUCCAUAACAGCCAAGAAGCCUGCAGGAGAAAGCCAAGGGCAGUUCCCUCCGCAGAACACCCCAUGCGUGCUGAGAGGCGAGCUCCUUGAAGAAGGGGCUGUUCUUCCAGGAGGCCUUAUUUUGAACUGCCUCAGGACCCCACUGGAGAGCACAGCAUGCCUUACUACUGGGUCAUCCUUGGUCUAUGUGCUCUGUACUGGAGGCUCUGUUCUGCCUCUUAUCAGUCAGGUCAGGGGCACACAUGGCUUAAGUGACAAAGCCAGAGGAGAAGACAACCCUGACAGCAUCACACUGCAUCCCAUUGCUAGCAGGAUUGGCAACUCUUCAGACGGAGCUGCGCUUUCCUGCAGUCUAGCACCUCUAGGGUCUCUCCAGACUGUGCCCUGGGAGCUCUGGGACUGAAAGGUUAAGAAUAUUAGGCAGGAUCAGAUGACUCCUCUCAAAGAGGGCAGGGGAAUUUUCUCUCCAUGGGCCACAGGGGACAGGGCUGGGAGAAGAAAUAGACUUGCACCUUAUGUCAUGUAAAUAAUUGAUUUUCUAGUUCAAGAAGAUAAUAUUGGUAGUGUGGGAAUUGGAGGUAGGAAGGGGAGGAAGUCUGAGUAAGCCAGUUGGCUUCUAAGCCAAAAGGAUUCCUCUUUGUUUAUCUCUGAGACAGUCCAACCUUGAGAAUAGCUUUAAAAGGGAAAUUAAUGCUGAGAUGAUAAAGUCCCCUUAAGCCAACAAACCCUCUGUAGCUAUAGAAUGAGUGCAGGUUUCUAUUGGUGUGGACUCAGAGCAAUUUACAAGAGCUGUUCAUGCAGCCAUCCAUUUGUGCAAAAUAGGGUAAGAAGAUUCAAGAGGAUAUUUAUUACUGCCUCAUACCACAUGGCUUUUGAUGAUUCUGGAUUCUAAACAACCCAGAAUGGUCAUUUCAGGCACAACGAUAACUACCUUCGUGUGUGUCUGCUUUUAAACUUGGCUGGGCUAUCAGACCCUAUUCUCGGCUCAGGUUUUAAGAAGCCAUCAGCAAAUAUGUACGUGCAUGCUGUAGCUGCAGCCUGCAUCCCUUCGCCUGCAGCCUACUUUGGGGAAAUAAAGUGCCUUACUGACUGUAGCCAUUACAGUAUCCAAUGUCUUUUGACAGGUGCCUGUCCUUGAAAAACAAAGUUUCUAUUUCUAUUUUUAAUUGGUUUAGUUCUUACUGCUGGCCAACUCUUAUAUCCCCAGCAAAUCAUCGGGCCAUUGGAUUUUUUCCAUUAUGUUCAUUACCCUUAUAUCAUGUACCUCAGAUCUCUCUCUCUCUCCUCUCUCUCAGUUAUAUAGUUUCUUGUCUUGGACUUUUUUUUUCUUUUCUUUUUCUUUUUUUUUUGCUUUAAAACAAGUGUGAUGCCAUAUCAAGUCCAUGUUAUUCUCUCACAGUGUACUCUAUAAGAGGUGUGGGUGUCUGUUUGGUCAGGAUGUUAGAAAGUGCUGAUAAGUAGCAUGAUCAGUGUAUGCGAAAAGGUUUUUAGGAAGUACGGCAAAAAUGUUGUAUUGGCUAUGAUGGUGACAUGAUAUAGUCAGCUGCCUUUUAAGAGGUCUUAUCUGUUCAGUGUUAAGUGAUUUAAAAAAAUAAUAACCUGUUUUCUGACUAGUUUAAAGAUGGAUUUGAAAAUGGUUUUGAAUGCAAUUAGGUUAUGCUAUUUGGACAAUAAACUCA